AUACCUCAAGAGAGAUAUGCACCUGACCAGUCUCAGUCCCUACUGCAAUUUCACAGAAAAUAAGUUAUGAAGGUCUCUCUCCAGUAACAAGCCAGCAUCCAGAUGCCUUUCUGGAGAAGAUAAUAGCAGUUCCAAAGCAACAGACACCACAGGAUUUAUUUCCACAUGUUUUAGAAGAUUGCCAGAGAACCUGCAUGACUGUGAUUGACACAGAUAACAGUGUAAAAGAACAAUCCUGUAAUAAUGAUACAGAUCUUUCAUUGGCAACCCUAGGAAAUAUUUUCACAGAACCACUAGUGCUCACUGAACAGAGCAUAGAGACUGCUGAACUUGAAGUCAGUGAUUUGUUGAGACCUCUCAGUGAUUCUGAGAGUCCUAAAACGAUAAACCAACUGCAUGACGUAUUAGACUAUCAGGGUCAUGUCUUUUCCAGUGAUAUAUCAGCAGAUGAGAACAGUGAUGCCCUUCCAGUAGAGCUUGUGACAGCUCUGAAUUCCUUGUCAGGAUCUGUAAUACAGUCUGACAGUCCUGUAGUGCCAAGCAAGAGACAGCAUACCACUGAGGAAGAGCAGUUAAAUUCAGAAUCCAGUACUCCCCAGCAAGAUGAUGACUGUACACAAAUAACAAACGUGUUUGAGCCUCAGCUUCCUACAAUUCACGAAGAAGAAAUAAAAGCCUUAACAGGAUCUAACUUGCAGAGGACAACAAAUGAGCAACUUGCGGGUGAUCAGCAGAAAGGGAAAGAAGCAAUUUCAGAUUAUUGGAGUGCCAUCUGUAAUGAAAAACAAAAUGAGGAGGGAAGUUUGCAUUCAGUGGAGGCUGUUGUAUGUGCAGAAACCAAUAAAACAGCAUCAGGGAGAACAAUGCAGCUAGAAGAGACCUCCUCAAUAAAGUGUAGAGAUAGUAUUUCCUGUCAUCACCAAGCACUGGAAGAGACACAGCAGAGUAUGUCUCACAAUCACAGUACAACAAGAAACAAAACCAAGGAUUUUAGGUAUGACAAAGUCACGUGCAGUAUUCUCAAAUUCUUCUUUUUAUUAAUGUAACAAAUGUAAUUCAUACAGACUGCUUAUUCCUCACAUUAGUGAUUUUAGGUGAUCCAAAAGUAAAGGUUUUCCUUCUAUUUAAGUAUCUGGAAGUCAGUUUCUUUACUGAUUUACCAUUUAUUCAGUACUACCUAAGUUAGCAUAUAUCCUAGCAUGCUAUUGGAAACUUCAUUUUAAAAUCAAAUAUGUUAACCUUCUUAGGUCUAUCGCAAAUACCAAUUAAUACAGAGAAGAAAAUACUUUUUUUGAUUCUAAACAAAUCUCUUGUCAGUAAAAUUCUGAAACCUGCUUCUAAAGACAAGGAAGAUCUAGAAACCAACAUGUACCAAGAAAUAACUCCAAAUGAGGAUAGAAACGCUGAGCAGAUAAGGAGAAGCAAAAGAAUCAAAGAUAAAAUGAGUAAGAUAUUCUCUCAUACUUAUCAGGUUAUUUUUUUAUUUGAAAAGCUGUACUGAAUCAAAUAUAAUUCAUAGCCUUUCCAAUAUAUUGUGGCAUGAAUUUUUUUAAAAAGGUGACAUAAACAUUUAUUUUAAUAAUUAAAAUUAUUAAUAAUUCCCCUUCCUUGUUUAAAUCUGUGUAUUAGCAAUCUAACAGUUGACUUGUAUACACAAACUCAUUAGGAAUCAUCAGAAUUUUUCCAGGAUGCAUUUUUAAUCAUGGAAUGAAACUUACUGUAUAUUCUAAAAAGCAGAAGAAAAAUGUUUUAUUACAGAGUGAGAAUGUUGGUCAUAAUUCUAUUAUCUAGUAUUCAGCGUGCAACAUUAUUCUGAGGACAAUGGCAUCCCCAAGAACUGACCGAUACAAAGCAGUUUAUUUUAUUUUAAAUGCCUGCUGUUGUUGUUCUGUCUGUUUAUAUAUAGGAUUAUAGGCCUUCGCUAUUACAUACACUGAGCACUCUUUGAAGUAUUCUUCCUUGCAGUAUUCUUUGUCAGAGAGAAAGAUUGCUAUUUUUCAUCCUUUGAAGGUGAAUGCAAAGAAAUUCUUUUGCUCAUAGAGAAAGUGUGUAGGAGAACACAGAAUUUCCACAUUUACGUGCUUACCCUAGAGCCAGCCUGUAAGACUGGGGUCUUAAAAGUUUGUUUUUCUUAAAGCCCACUCAAUCUGUUUUUAUCUGUGCAGUUACAAACGUUUAAACAGAUUUAAAAGUUUGGUAGUAUUUGAACUGUUACAGCUACAUUACAGAUCUUAUAAAAUAUGAAUAAUUCUACCAGCAAUUAACAACCCUUCUCUCUUACAGGGUUUCAGUAUUCCCAGUGGAAGUACUAUUUUUGUGAGAUUUAAAGUUGGAUGACUAACUGCUCAUCUAUUUCAUGACUUAGUAGUUUCUACUUAAAAAACAGGCUGUUGUUUUUAGCAUGAUUUCUGCAGAAAGAGUUGUGCUGCCUAUAGAGGUAGCUUCAUGUUAAUCCAUCUAACAAGUUUACUCCCCUUUUGCAUCAAACCUAGCUAUCAGGAGUCUGUGAGUCAUCUUAACUUGGUAGUUCACUGAAAAAACAGCACCAAAAAAGUUUCAUUUUGGGUCAACAAGCAUCACUUGUUUUAUUCAUGGUCUGACACAAGGAAGGUGGUAGGGAACGUAGAGUACCAGUGGCAGGAAAUAGGUCCUCUUGAAAUAACAAUGCCUAAUUAAAUUGGGUUAAGUAUAAAAAAAUUGCACUAUGUUCGAUGAAUAUUUGUGUAGUGUAACCCCUUCUGAAAUUCUUGGCUGAUUUAAAAUAACUUUGAUUAAGCUAUUAAAUGAUUAAGGUCUUGCAAGGCUGGAUAGGUAGAAGAGAAAGACUUUUCAUGUGCUCAGUUGAAGGAAGGUGCUGGGUAAGUCUCUACCUACUGGAUUCGAAAAAUCUGUGCAGAGUUGAACAUUGAACAUAAAAAGGUUGGGAGCAAUUUAGACUUGGGCUUACAGUAUGCCAGAAUGCACAAAACAGUGGAGUCAUCAGGCUGCGUGAGUUACAGCUCUAAGAGAACAAUGUCUUUAAAGGUCCUGCUUAAAAUUUCUAUUCCUGACACUCAGCUGGAGUUUUAGGGCCAGCGAAAGGGCCACACACAUGGAGUUUUAGGGCCACAUCUGCCACAGACUGUGGAAGAGCAGUGGAUAUGGCAUGCACUCCCUGCAAACCCAAGGUUUUUCAUUAGUAGAUCAGCUAAUGGUCUGAGACAUUUGAGUGUGGUUUCCUGCAGGCCAUCUUCCUGUCCUGCCAUUUUCUUUCUUCCUUCCCUGUUUUUCAGAAGAGGCAGCAGACUCCAUGCAAUGAAGAGGUAAUGGGAUUGUGCUGCUGGUAAAGUGCAGGACAGCUCAUCUAUAUAUUGGAAAUCAUUUCGUCCAAACUGAAAAGCAUAAUGGGUGCAUAAUGCGAGACAGCAUUUCCUUUGUAAAAUAAUAAACAAAAAAAAUGAUGAUGGUUUGUUGUAUUU
rnacentral:lncRNA from 1 species